rnacentral:rRNA from 1 species
UACAGAGGGGGCAAGCGUUGUUCGGAAUUACUGGGCGUAAAGGGCGCGUAGGCGGCCUGUUAAGUCGGACGUGAAAUCCCUCGGCUCAACCGGGGAACUGCGUCCGAUACUGGCGGGCUUGAAUUCGGGAGAGGGAUGUGGAAUUCCAGGUGUAGCGGUGAAAUGCGUAGAUAUCGGGAGGAACACCAGUGGCGAAGGCGACUUUCUGGCCUGUUCUUGACGCUGAGGCGCGAAAGCUAGGGGAGCAAACGGG